AACGCACAUUGCGCCUCUAGUAACUUGGAGGCAUGCCUGUCUGAGCGUCAUUUAAAACCAUAAACUCAACUGGGUUUGUAUUGGGCAUCGCCUCUGGGCGUAGCUUGAAAGUCAUUGGUCUUAUACGCGGACGAGUUCCAUUAGGACAGGCCGUGUCUGGACUUUAAAUCUCUGACUUGACCUCAGAUCAGGUAGGACUACCGCCUGAACUUAA
rnacentral:misc_RNA from 1 species